GAUGAACGCUGGCGGCGUGCUUAACACAUGCAAGUCGAACGGAAAGGCCGAAGCUUGCUUCGGUACUCGAGUGGCGAACGGGUGAGUAACACGUGGGUGAUCUGCCCUGUACUUCGGGAUAAGCUUGGGAAACUGGGUCUAAUACCGGAUAUGACAAUCUCUUGGAUGGGGUUGUGGAAAGCUUUUGCGGUAUGGGAUGAGCUCGCGGCCUAUCAGCUUGUUGGUGGGGUAAUGGCCUACCAAGGCGUCGACGGGUAGCCGGCCUGAGAGGGUGUACGGCCACAUUGGGACUGAGAUACGGCCCAGACUCCUACGGGAGGCAGCAGGGGGGAAUAUUGCACAAUGGGCGCAAGCCUGAUGCAGCGACGCCGCGUGGGGGAUGACGGCCUUCGGGUUGUAAACUCCUUUCGCAACCGACGAAGCUUUUUGUGACGGUAGGUGGAGAAGAAGCACCGGCUAACUACGUG
rnacentral:rRNA from 1 species